UACGUAGGGGGCAAGCGUUGUCCGGAAUCAUUGGGCGUAAAGCGCGUGUAGGCGGUUCGGUAAGUCUGCUGUGAAAGUCCAGGGCUCAACCCUGGGAUGCCGGUGGAUACUGUCGGGCUAGAGUGCGGAAGAGGCGAGUGGAAUUCCCGGUGUAGCGGUGAAAUGCGCAGAUAUCGGGAGGAACACCAAUUGCGAAGGCAGCUCGCUGGGACGUAACUGACGCUGAGACGCGAAAGCGUGGGGAGCAAACGGG
rnacentral:rRNA from 1 species